AGGAUUAACGCUGGCGGCGUGCCUAACACAUGCAAGUCGAACGAGGUAGCAAUACCUAGUGGCAGACGGGUGAGUAGCGCGUGGUCAACCUACCGUUGAGUGGGGGAUAACUAGCCGAAAGGUUAGCUAAUACCGCAUACGUCUCCGAGGGGCAUCCCUUGGCGAUAAAAGGAGCAAUCCGCUCGAUGACGGGACCGCGUCCCAUUAGCUAGUUGGUGGGGUAACGGCCUACCAAGGCGUCGAUGGGUAGCUGGUUUGAGAGAGCGACCAGCCACACUGGGACUGAGAUACGGCCCAGACUCCUACGGGAGGCAGCAGUGAGGAAUUUUCCGCAAUGGGCGAAAGCCUGACGGAGCGACGCCGCGUGUGGGAAGAAGGCCUUCGGGUCGUAAACCACUGUCGAAGGGGAAGAUAAUGACGGUACCCUUGGAGGAAGCCCGGCUAACUACGCGCCAGCGCCGC
rnacentral:rRNA from 1 species